AGUGGUGGUGCACGCCUUUAAUCUCAGCACUUGGGAGGCAGAGGCAGGGAGGAGAGUUCAGUCUGAGGAUUUUCAUCUCAAGAUCUGCAUCGAGGCCUGACCUGUCCCUAAUAUAGGAGACACAGAGCCCUCCCCCAGAAUCAGGAGCCUCAGGCACCCCCAGCUCCUGAGCACACCAACUUUGAUGCUGUUUUACGUAGAGAAGCUAAAAGGAAGGAAAAGGGCUUUAGCCUCAGGUGGCGGCCUCCUCUCAGACCCGGUGAGGCCAAGGCUAAGGCGUCUGGAUGCAAGGAAGAGCAGAAUCUCACUCGCUUCUGGGGCUCCUCUCUUCUCAGUGUCAGAGGUCGCCAGGUUUUACAUUAUAUGCCACCAGUUAUCACUACUGAAGAUAGCUCAGAUGUACGGUUGCCCUGGAAACUGCUGCUUACAUCAUCAUCCAGAAUUUGGAGGGAGCCCAUCUACCCUUGGGCACGAGCAGGACCCAGCAAGUGAGCUUUUGACCUCAGAGGCCCCAAACUCCACCCCAAAAGACCUAAGGCAUCAUUUUCUGAACUCACACCCUUUGAAGACUGCCUGUCCACACACGUGCAGCCUGUCCCAUUUUUCUCAUCUUUGCCUGCUUUAGCCCACCAUUUAUAUAAAUGAACUCUCCCCUCAUCAACUUUUCUUGAGAGAAAGCAGGUAGGAUUUGUCUUUCUGAGUCUGGUUUAUUUUGCCUGAUACAAUGAUCUCCAGUUCUUGGGCUUUUUGUUUUUUCCACAUGGGAUCUGAGGAUCAAACUAAGUUUGGUUCUCAUGGUGACAAGUUAAUUUAACAGCAGAAAUGUCUUCCCAGUAACCCUUAUGCUCCAUAGCACCAGUCUGUCUGUCUGUCUGUCUGUCUCUCUCUCACACACACACAUACACACAGGUUAAGUGGUCAACUUGCCCCCAAAACAUUUUGCUAUCUAUCAUUCUGAAAUUAAGUCCUUCAUAAAUGGACCAACGUUACAUGGCUAUAUUCAAGCCCCCUGAAUAGAAUGUUUGUUUGUAUUGGACUACCUCUCGGGCUCGCCACAACUGGCUAUAGCUCCCCAGCUUUUACAUCUUGGCUGUUCAUGUUCUGGCUUAGUAUUCAACAGAUGCAGUCCAGUGUAUUCUAUGCCAGUAUAAUGCCCACACCUCCCUCAUUAAACCUUACUGGGGUGGC
rnacentral:lncRNA from 1 species